rnacentral:rRNA from 1 species
CCUACGGGUGGCUGCAGUGGGGAAUAUUGGACAAUGGGCGAAAGCCUGAUCCAGCCAUGCCGCGUGUGUGAAGAAGGCCUUCGGGUUGUAAAGCACUUUCAGUGGGGAAGAAAGCCUUGGGGCUAAUACCCUCGAGGAAGGACAUCACCCACAGAAGAAGCACCGGCUAACUCCGUGCCAGCAGCCGCGGUAAUACGGAGGGUGCGAGCGUUAAUCGGAAUUACUGGGCGUAAAGCGCGCGUAGGCGGUCUGAUAAGCCGGUUGUGAAAGCCCCGGGCUCAACCUGGGAACGGCAUCCGGAACUGUCAGGCUAGAGUGCAGGAGAGGAAGGUAGAAUUCCCGGUGUAGCGGUGAAAUGCGUAGAGAUCGGGAGGAAUACCAGUGGCGAAGGCGGUCUUCUGGACUGACACUGAUGCUGAGGUGCGAAAGCGUGGGUAGCAAACAGGAUUAGAUACCCCAGUAGUC